AUGCAUAUCCAUAUGCGCGGUCUCCUUCUGUGGGGUGUUCUCUCUGGCGAGGUCCCCUGUCCGCCUUGUCAUGUUACUCCUGUGGCUCCUACCCCGCCAGCACCGCCGGUUCUUGCUGCUGAUGCUUCUCAGGCCGAUCGCGAUGCCGCCAAGGCUCUCGAUGAUACUGUAGUUGAUGCCUAUGAUCAGCAGAUGUCAGCCUAUUCGGAUGCCCUUUCUGCCUAUCGUGAUGAUCUGUCUGCUUACACUCAGUGGUGCAAUGAUGAUGCUCGUGCUGUUGCUGUUCUUACUGCAAGUGUCCUUCCUCAGUUCGCCUCGGAGUUCAUGGAACUUGGCACAGUUGCAGCGAUGUGGUCUUAUCUCUGCCAGCGCUAUCAGCCCUCUAGUGAUGCUCUCUACCUAUCUGUGGUACGUCAGGAGCAUGCACUCCAGCAAGGUGAUUCCUCUAUUGAUGAGUUUUAUUCACAGUGCUCUGCCAUCUGGCGUCAGCUUGACGACUCUCUUCGGACCGUCGUUUGUGGAACUUGUCGUUGCUGUCAGACUACACGAUCCGAUUUGGAGUUUCAGCGGGUUCACGAGUUCUUAUCUCGUCUUCGCUCUGAGUUCGAGCCUCGCCGUGCUCACCUGCUUGCUCGUGGUCGUGUUCCUAUCUCGGAGGUACUUGCUGAGCUUCGUGCUGAAGAGACCCCCUCUGCUGGGUUACUUGUGGUUCCAACAUUGUUGGCCGCCCGAGCUCCUAUGCCACCUGCUCGCCUCACAGCUCCACCGCUCCUGCCUACUCCUUCAGGGGUGGUGGGUCGUCCUUCUUAUGCUGAGAGGGGCCGGUCGCGUCGUAACACCUUCUGUGGGUACUGCUCUCGACCAGGUCACCCAGAGUCUGAUUGCCGUGAGAAGAAGCGUGACCAGAGGCGCUCCUCUUCCAGUGGGACUCCUGGAUCAUCCUCGACCCCGUCACUCACUGACCAGGACAUUAUGAGGCUCAAGCGUCUCUUAGCUUCCUCAGGCUCUUCGUCGACCGGUUCCGCUGCUGCUGUGACUGCAGCCACCACUCCACCACCGCAGGCAUCUACACAGUCAGGAUCGUCGCACCAAGGCUUUGGUUGGUGCUGGCUCCCGGCGCCGUGA
rnacentral:rRNA from 1 species